rnacentral:rRNA from 1 species
AGGGAGCUUGCUCCGCUGACGACCGGCGCACGGGUGCGUAACGCGUAUAGAAUCUGCCUUACACUGAGGGAUAGCCUUUGGAAACGAAGAUUAAUACCUCAUAGUAUCAUUUUAUGGCAUCAUAGAUUGAUUAAAGGUUACGGUGUAAGAUGACUAUGCGUCCUAUUAGCUUGUUGGUAAGGUAACGGCUUACCAAGGCUACGAUAGGUAGGGGCCCUGAGAGGGGGAUCCCCCACACUGGUACUGAGACACGGACCAGACUCCUACGGGAGGCAGCAGUGAGGAAUAUUGGACAAUGGAGGCAACUCUGAUCCAGCCAUGCCGCGUGAAGGAUGACUGCCCUAUGGGUUGUAAACUUCUUUUAUACAGGAAGAAACCGUUCCACGUGUGGGACUUUGACGGUACUGUAUGAAUAAGCACCGGCUAACUCCGUGCCAGCAGCCGCGGUAAUACGGAGGGUGCAAGCGUUAUCCGGAAUCAUUGGGUUUAAAGGGUCCGUAGGCGGACUAAUAAGUCAGAGGUGAAAUCCCGCAGCUCAACUGUGGAACUGCCUUUGAAACUGUUAGUCUUGAGUUAUUGUGAAGU